rnacentral:lncRNA from 1 species
UAAGCUGCACCAAGCCUAGCUGUUCCACAGUGCUUUAUUGCCUCAUUCAAGUAUAUUAAAGAAGCUCUCAAGGGAAAACCAAAGGUUAAACCAAAAUAUACAUCAAUAUACAAAGAAAUUAAUUUACAAAAAAAUUAAAAGGAUACUGGUAACAUUAGUAGAUAUUUUAAAUAAUGACUUGUGAUAAUUAGGGAUGUCACAGACUAAAUUCUUAAUAUGUACGGUCAUUACCAUGAAUUCUCACAUCACCAGUGGUAUUGAAAAGCAAUGCUUAACUCCUCAUCUUUUUAUCAAUGAUAAAAAAUUGAUCAGAUUAUAAGAUAAACAUCAUAAAUUCUAACAUUUAACCUUACAUCAAUUUAACUGGGUUAUAAUUUUGAGAAUUACUAGAACUACUGGUACGUGAACAUUGGUUUAGGCGAAUUAUCUCCAUAGAAUGUGACAUCCAUAAUCAUUCCAGUCAUUGGAAAUAUACAGUUGCCUCACUAAAAUAUAUUCUUCAUGUUUUUAUCAUACAACCAUAUUUCAAAGCUACAUGUAAUUUUACACAUUUUUGAAAAAAAAUCCCAUUUCAAGAUCUUCUUGAAAAGCAGAUGUGCACUAUACUAAAUUACUUUUAAACAAAGAGAAAUAUUGCACAAAAAUCACUGAAGAUUUGAAAGUCAACACAUUUCCCCCACACAACCAAGUAGCUCCCUUAUUUUUAACAGAAACAGAAUGUCAAUUCACAGAGAAUUGUAAUAAAUGUCAACGUACUUGAACUCAACUUAUUUUUCAAAUGCUAAUACUGUUACUGGACUAAAUACAAAUCUUGUUAGUAUUGACCUAAGUAAUAGUACAAAUUAGAGUACCCUUUACUACAGUAAACCUUGGAGUAACCAACUGUGUCACCUGCUUCAUACUCCAACCCAGCAGAAAAUGGCAAUGGCCCUGCCAACUACACAGAUGGUGGAUGGCCCUCUAGACUAAGGUGACUGUGGGACUCAUCAGGCAACUACAUCUAGAAGUUUAGCAGCUUCCAGGAAAGACCUAUCAAGUACUUUCAAUUGGCCACUGAUUAAAACUGUUAAACAGACAUUGCAAAUCAAGGAAGGUUUCGCACAAAAACACAUACCAUCCCUUUCCCAUUCAUCUAUUUUCAACACCCUGAAGAUCAUGAAUUCUAGACCAGCUGUGGUCCACGCUCUUGAGGUGAUGAGUAGGACACAUUCUACUCAGCCCAGAUUCUGUUAGGUAAACAACACAUGGCAAAGACAUACACAUCUAAUAGCAGCAAAGAAGUUACUGAAGACUAGUCACAUCACCAUUCAUACUGGUUUUGCUGGUGCAUUUAUUUCUACAUUCAUUCUCCAAAGAUUUACUGCAAUACCAUGGGGACAGCCAGUCUUCACCAUCCUGAGCUUUGCAAUAAGGAAGCUGCUUGCCUCGGGCAUAAUUUCAUUAGCACAUUUCUUUAGCUUGAAAUUUCAGACUGUUGGGAACACACUGGCUGGAGUCUCACAGCACCUGGGCUAGAGCCUGGCACCAAGAGAGAAGAUGGUAACUCCCUUGGAAAUAAAGACCCCCCUCUAAGACUCCCUGCAGAGUCAGGGAGGUCAGCGGCUAUGGGGCUCCCUUCCGCAGCACAGGGUACUACAGUCAGUAUUGCACAGGGGGUGCAUUUGCAAAGAGGCCUUAUGCUGGCACUUCAAUUAUUGCAUGAAAUGUUUCCUCAACUGAUUACAUGCAUAGAAAAAAGAUUUUAGAUGCUCCUAGUAAUUCCAUUAGACAGCUGCACCAAUGAAAGAUUGUUCUGUAGGACUGAAUAUGAUUGAUUGUAGUUGGAGAGAUAGAUGCUGUUUUAAAAACCUGGCUUAACUGUUUUUUUGCCUAGACUUUAAAUCGUUUACAAGAACACAAGGUUAUAAACUAGAUCAUUUUAAACCCUGAAAAGACAUCUAAAACAAUUUUUUGAGAUCUAAACUACUCCUUUAAUAGAUUGGGUGGGAUUUUCAAAAGCACCCAGCAUGUGUCUAGAACUCUGGCUGAAGUCUGUGUUACAAUGCCUGAGAGGGGACUUCAGUCAGUGCUGAGAGAUUCUGAUGACCUCGCCCAAACAGCAGCAGUACCACUGAAAUGCUAAAUGACAAUGAAGGGUUCAGCUAAGUUCUAGGACAACUUCUACAACUACAUUUUUCUUUCAGAACAAGACUAUUUUUCAGAUACAUGAUGCUCAAAUAUGUGGGAUGGAAGAGCCAACCCCUGCCUACUCUACACAGACUUCCCUCUGCAUGCAUAGAGGGUGGGUAAGGAUCACCUUGGCAGCCACAGUACUGUCCUUCCCUGAAUAUCUGCACUGUGUUUUACAUACUGCAUCUCUAUACACAUGGAUGGGAAGGCUUUGACUGGGACAGCAUACUAUCCAUUCUGCAUAUCCCAUAGGGGCUUAAUUCCAUAGCCCCUACAUGGCUGGGUUGGAAUCACUACAACUGAGCAAGAACAUGAAACAACAUUUUGAAAUCUGAAUUUCCUCAAAGUUACCAUCCCUCCUGAGGACUCCCAGGCUCUGCUUCACCACACACCACUGGAACAAUCCAGGAAUCCCUUUGUCUUUCUACUGCCCUUGCUUUUUUCCUCCCAAACCAGAUGAGUGAUAUGGCUCAUUUCAGGCAACCACUGAUGCAAAAGAAACUCGAAGAUACUAAAUUCAAGUCCUAGUUCAACCUCCUAUAUCAGAAAUUUGUUCCUAUGUGUAAGUAACAGAUUACAAAGCUUUGUCAAAUAACCUAGUAUCUCCCUUAAACAGGAGAAAUAGGAAGAUUUUUGAGAUCCUGAAGAAAAGACAUGCUUCUGAAGAAGACCACAGGAGCUCUGAAUGAGCAGAACUUACUUAGUUCUCACCAGUAGCUGGUGAUGAAUGUUUAUCGUUUUGAAAGACAUUAGGAGGAUUUCCACAAAUAAAAAGCACACAAGUAUAAAACUUGUAAAAAGUACUGGACCUGGAAAUUUAUCUUAAUAUGGUACCCAAUGUGGUAAUAAAAAUACUGCAUAUGUAACCAAUAAACAGUUUCAUAUUAUCACAGGGACAGAGAACAACAGUGUUUAACCGGAAAUAUCAGUUUGGACUCAUCUAUUUGGUAACUGGUAAUUCUGCUUAAAUAAGGCACAAAUAUUAGCCUUUUUAUAAGAUCACUGAUAGUAAGUGGAAAAGAUUCCGUAAUAUUAUAAAGUUAAAAAUGUACCUACAGCUAAAUUCAACACAGAUAUAUGACUGAGUUCUUUCUGAACCAAUACAAGAUUCAAAUCCAAAAAUGACGUUUUAUUUAAUGAGUGUAAACACUGUAUGGGCUUUAUAAAUAGUAACGAAACAAUGUGGCAUAAACACAGUAACUAACAUUUUGACUGAAAUAAUUCUAAGUUUAAUUUUACAUUCCAUCUUUUAGUUCAUCUGUUUAUUUCUCUUCAGCCUGCAUUUUUCACUCAAAUUUCUCUCAAACAGUGAAUUACUAUGCCUCAAUUUUGAAAGAUUCCACUACCGAGCUUUCACUUUUAUGAUCCUUAUAGUAACUGUAAGAAUAUUAGCAGCCUUACAUGGCUUCCAUAUUUUUUCCUCAAAGGUGAGAACGGGACAAUCUAGGUGAUAACAGAAGUUCAGUGCCUAACUCUCAUGUAAAGCCAGUAAGAUUCAUUCUAUCAGAGAGGCAUUUUUGAAAAACAUUUUUUCUGGCAGCAUUCCUGGACUUAGGUGUUUCAUGGUUUUGAAAGUUGUAAUGGACAUAAUUUCAGAUUUUUUUCUGUUUUUCUCCGUAAGACAUCAAUACUGUUUAUCUCUAACAAAACAUCAUUUUAGAUGGAACUACGGACAGAAAAGCAUGUCGGAUGCAGAGGAAAAGAAAAAGUGAAUUCUUGUCAACGAAAUACAAGGACAUGAAUGAAAAUGAGAGAGGAAGUGCUACAAGAACAGAAAGCUUUGUGUUGCUUGUCUUCCCUCAGACACAUUUGGCAGCACUACAUUUGGGUAAUGCCUAGAACCAGCAAAGGAGAAGUUUAGAUCAAAGAUUUUACACAAUGCUUAUGAUACUUUUGAUUUUUAAUAGCAAAAUACUUUGCUAAAUAACAUUUUUAUGUUACUAAAAAACCUCCACCACAUACCAUGUUGAUACACAAGAGGAAACCAAAGGAUAGAUAAAUACUUUGGAGUACAAAACUCUGGACACACAACCUCUAACUCUGGAAUACCUAGAUUCCCUAGCAAUGCAGACUACAGAUGCCCUCAGGAAUUUUCACACUCUAAUCUGACGCAGAUAUUUCUGUAAGACUAUCACUUGUAUAAACUUUUACCUUCAUUGCACAAUUUAAAAAAAAAUAAAAAAUUUCUGGAGAUUCGUCCUCAAUGACAAUUACUGGCCCAGCCCUUUUCAUACUGGAACAAGCUGAAAUGUUUACAUUAACAAAGCCAAAGUCUCAAUCUACUGAAUCUCUUUGGUAAAGCAUCAGACACUGCCUCUGAAUGAUAUGGAUCCAUUCUCCUAGGUUAGCUGCCUUGUAAUAAAGCAGCCAAAAAUACCCCUUUCCAUCUGUGGUAGCUAGAAGGAAAUUUAAUUCAUAAAAUCGCAAUGUGGCAACUGAUUAUUAAACUUUGCUACAAACUACCAUUAAGAUAUCAAAGCACAAUCUGGUCCAAAUACUGACCUUAUGAAUGUGCUCAAUCAGGCCUAUUCUGAGAUUAAGACUAAUC